rnacentral:rRNA from 1 species
CCUACGGGGGGCAGCAGUGGGGAAUAUUGGACAAUGGGGGGAACCCUGAUCCAGCCAUGCCGCGUGUGUGAAGAAGGCCCUCGGGUUGUAAAGCACUUUCAGUGAGGAAGAACGCCUGGUGGUUAAUACCCAUCAGGAAAGACAUCACUCACAGAAGAAGCACCGGCUAACUCCGUGCCAGCAGCCGCGGUAAUACGGAGGGUGCGAGCGUUAAUCGGAAUUACUGGGCGUAAAGCGCGCGUAGGUGGCUUGAUAAGCCGGUUGUGAAAGCCCCGGGCUCAACCUGGGAACGGCAUCCGGAACUGUCAAGCUAGAGUGCAGGAGAGGAAGGUAGAAUUCCCGGUGUAGCGGUGAAAUGCGUAGAGAUCGGGAGGAAUACCAGUGGCGAAGGCGGCCUUCGGGACUGACACUGACACUGAGGUGCGAAAGCGUGGGUAGCAAACAGGAUUAGAACCCUGGUAGUC